rnacentral:tRNA from 1 species
GGACAGGUGGCCGAGCGGUCAAUGGCAACAGACUGUAAAUCUGUCGGGUUCUCCCUACGAAGGUUCAAAUCCUUCCCUGUCCACCA